CGGUUACCUGUAGUUGUUAAUUUCUGUGUCAUUUUGGUGUCUUAUGGAGAAUUAUCUCAUUGGCAAUCAUACCACAUCUUCUGUUUUAUAUUGACAAAUUUUCUGUUUAUGUUUCCUUUGAAUUGCGUUUUAGAAAUAGCCAUCAACAUCGCAAUUAAGUCUAUUUGGUGGUUAUUGAGAUUAACCACAAGUAUCUGAUCAUAUUCACUGUUGACAAUACCAAAGUUACAAUGCAAACCAUGCCUUUUAG
rnacentral:lncRNA from 1 species